CGGGUUGGUCGGUUCCCUGCUUGUGCAGCGACGAUCGCUCUUUCAUUCCUUUUCAUUCCUGCUCCAAUAGCGGUGUGCCUUGGACCGAAUUGGUUGCCUGUGUUGUAUACCUGCGUUGAUGGAAUUCUCUUGUCAAAUCGCACCUAAUUCACCUUGUGCUGCUCGCGCGGUGCAGGAUGAACCUUGAAGUGUCUCUUUGUUGCCUGUUAUUGCCUCGCAUUCGUGCAUCGCAUGAAAUGGCCAACGUUGCGGCGCUCGAUUUCUCGAAUACAGAACCUUAAGCGGGCAAAGUGCUUUUGGCCUCGAUUUGCCCAAACUAAGCGUUCUCGCUUCUUACGAACGACUGUCGUGCCCGUUUUGACCUAAGGAUACUUUCGUUCCGANUGGCUCACGC
rnacentral:misc_RNA from 1 species